UACGUAGGGUGCAAGCGUUAAUCGGAAUUACUGGGCGUAAAGCGUGCGCAGGCGGUUAUGUAAGACAGAUGUGAAAUCCCCGGGCUCAGCCUGGGAACUGCAUUUGUGACUGCAUAGCUAGAGUACGGUAGAGGGGGAUGGAAUUCCGCGUGUAGCAGUGAAAUGCGUAGAUAUGCGGAGGAACACCGAUGGCGAAGGCAAUCCCCUGGACCUGUACUGACGCUCAUGCACGAAAAGCGUGGGGAGCAAACAGG
rnacentral:rRNA from 1 species